rnacentral:tRNA from 1 species
GCCUGGCUUGCUCAGCCAGUAGAGCAUGAGACUCUUGAUCUCAGGGUUAUAGGUUUGAGCCCUACAUUAGGUG